GAUGAACGCUGGCGGCGUGCCUAAUACAUGCAAGUCGAGCGAACGGACGAGAAGCUUGCUUCUCUGAUGUUAGCGGCGGACGGGUGAGUAACACGUGGAUAACCUACCUAUAAGACUGGGAUAACUUCGGGAAACCGUAGCUAAUACCGGAUAAUAUUUUGAACCGCAUGGUUCAAAAGUGAAAGACGGUCUUGCUGUCACUUCUAGAUGGAUCCGCGCUGCAUUAGCUAGUUGGUAAGGUAACGGCUUACCAAGGCAACGAUGCAUAGCCGACCUGAGAGGGUGAUCGGCCACACUGGAACUGAGACACGGUCCAGACUCCUACGGGAGGCAGCAGUAGGGAAUCUUCAGCAAUGGGCGAAAGCCUGACGGAGCAACGCCGCGUGAGUGAUGAAGGUCUUCGGAUCGUAAAACUCUGUUAUUAGGGAAGAACAUAUGUGUAAGUAACUGUGCACAUCUUGACGGUACCUAAUCAGAAAGCCACGGCUAACUACGUG
rnacentral:rRNA from 1 species